rnacentral:rRNA from 1 species
UACGGAGGGUGCAAGCGUUGUCCGAAAUCACUGGGUGUAAAGGGUGUGCAGGCGGAGCAGUAAGUCAGUGGUGAAAGCCCCCGGCUCAACCGGGGAAUUGCCUCUGAUACUGCUGUUCUUGAGUCCCGGAGAGGCUGCCGGAAUUCGUGGUGUAGCGGUGAAAUGCGUAGAGAUUUGGAGGAAUACCAGUGGCGAAGGCGGCCCCCUGGCCCGAUAUUGACGCUGAGGUGCGAAAGCGUGGGGAGCAAACAGG